CCUACGGGUGGCUGCAGUGGGGAAUAUUGCGCAAUGGGGGCAACUCUGACGCAGCAACGCCGCGUGCUUGAAGAAGGCUUUCUGGGUGUAAAGAUCCUUUAUCGGGGACGAAUUUUGACGGUACCCGAAGAAUAAGCUCCGGCUAUCUACGUGCCAGUAGCCGCUGUACUACGCAGGGAGCAAGCGUUAUCCGGAUUUACUGGGUUUAAAGGGCGUGUAGGCGGGCAUGCAAGCCAGAGGUGAAAUCUGGGGGCUUAACCCCCAAACUGCUUUUGGAACUGUGUGUUUUGAGUGAUGGAGAGGCAGGCGGAAUGCCCAGUGUAGCGGUGAAAUGCGUAGAUAUUGGGAGGAACACCAGUGGCGAAGGCGGCCUGCUGGACAUUAACUGACGCUGAGGCGCGAAAGCGUGGGGAGCAAACAGGAUUAGAUACCCGGGUAGUC
rnacentral:rRNA from 1 species